rnacentral:rRNA from 1 species
UACGUAGGGGGCAAGCGUUGUCCGGAUUUAUUGGGCGUAAAGAGCGUGUAGGCGGCCAUGCAGGUCAGCUGUGAAAACUCGAGGCUCAACCUCGAGACGUCGGUUGAAACCGUAUGGCUAGAGUCCGGAAGAGGAGAGUGGAAUUCCCGGUGUAGCGGUGAAAUGCGCAGAUAUCGGGAGGAACACCUAUGGCGAAGGCAGCUUGCUGGGACGGUACUGACGCUGAGGCGCGAAAGCGUGGGGAGCGAACAGG